CCUACGGGCGGCAGCAGUGGGGAAUAUUGGACAAUGGGGGGAACCCUGAUCCAGCCAUGCUGCGUGUGUGAAGAAGGCCCUCGGGUUGUAAAGCACUUUCAGUGAGGAAGAACGCCUGGUGGUUAAUACCCAUCAGGAAAGACAUCACUCACAGAAGAAGCACCGGCUAACUCCGUGCCAGCAGCCGCGGUAAUACGGAGGGUGCGAGCGUUAAUCGGAAUUACUGGGCGUAAAGCGCGCGUAGGUGGCUUGAUAAGCCGGUUGUGAAAGCCCCGGGCUCAACCUGGGAACGGCAUCCGGAACUGUCAAGCUAGAGUGCAGGAGAGGAAGGUAGAAUUCCCGGAGUAGCGGUGAAAUGCGUAGAGAUCGGGAGGAAUACCAGUGGCGAAGGCGGCCUUCUGGACUGACACUGACACUGAGGUGCGAAAGCGUGGGUAGCAAACAGGAUUAGAUACCCGUGUAGUC
rnacentral:rRNA from 1 species